AUGCCAAGAAGAAACCUACAGAAAAUAAGACAAGAACAAAGCAGGUCUGUCUUCUUCCAGCUCGGAGAGGGAUACCAUACAAUCCAACCAUGUGAUCGUGUGCCAAUAGACACAGAAGGUUAAUAUAUCUCCAUAGAAGGUAAUGUUUGCCAGUUCCUAAUUAUUGUUGACAUCCAUGAAAAUGAACCCUUCAUGUAAGGUGAAGCUACGCACCAGAAGGCUUGUCUGUUAUUUUAGUGAUAUUGUAAGGGCAUUACUAAACCCUACUUUCUAAUUCUGCUCAAAUGCUGGUCAUGAAUGACCAGUUAUGGUCAAAUUAUGGUAAUUACUCAAAGUAAGGUUUUGGAUCUUUGCCCAGCCACUGCAAGUUCAAAAGAGACACCAUCAAUAUCCAAGUUAUAGAGAAGUAAGUUGACUGUUUAGGACUCUAUAGAGAAUGGUGUUUUCUGUUUAGUCUCAUGCCCAAAUAAAUCAAACAGAUACAUUAGAUGCUGUGGUGAAUUUAUAAUGGCCAUAAUGUUUAAAGAGUAACUUCCAUUAUGUUUACACGGCAGACACCACUGGGCACACCACAUCAUUUCAGCGUGGAAAAUUAGCUCAUAUUUAGUAUGUAGAUAUUGAUCAAUAAGAUUCCAACCUAUUUUCACCCACUCAAAAAGACAGCCAAAAGUUUGCUGAAUUCCCAAUGUGUUAUCAUUACGAUUUCAACCAUUUAAAAGGUCAUUCAAAUUCCAAUGGAAAAGCAAUGUCUGAUAUUUGGUUUAGUUGCACCUAAAUGUGUUAACUCCACUUUCAACCAUUUGAAAGCACACCAAAGUUAGAAUGUGAAUACAAUGUCAGAUAUUUUGUUUAUGUAUACAACUUAAAGUGUUAUCACUGUGCUUCAUCUAAUAGCAGAACCAAAUGACCUGGAUUACAGUUAGUUGAGAUUACAUUCAAGUACAUGGCGCAAGUGAUCAAUGCCGUUGGAGAUUCUGUGCAGAUAAUUUUGCAAAAGUAAUAUUGAAUUGUGUUUGGUUAUCAAUGCAACCAAAUAUCACCAUUUGAAGGAGAUGUAUCUUCUGCUUGGAUAGUUCCAUCUGUGCCACUGAGCCUGGCUUUAAUUCCAGUUUGUCUACAAAUUAAUAAUUGAUGUUGGAUUUCAACCAAAAAUCUAAGUUAAAGAAUUGGACUUUGUUUUUGGUUGAGAUAGAGACGUAAAUCCAACAUAUUUCUUAUUAACUUGUAGAUUCCAUUUGAAAUCAACCAAGGCUUGAAACUCUAGGCCUAUAUGUAUUGUCUAUUUUUAGUUCAAUCCUGGGCUGAAUUUAAACAAUAGCUGUUGAUGACUUGCCAAAUGCUAUAUAGGCCUAAAUAGCAUCAUUGAUGAUACA
rnacentral:lncRNA from 8 species